rnacentral:rRNA from 1 species
AUACGUAGGUGGCAAGCGUUGUCCGGAUUUAUUGGGCGUAAAGCGCGCGCAGGCGGUUCUUUAAGUCUGAUGUGAAAGCCCCCGGCUCAACCGGGGAGGGUCAUUGGAAACUGGGGAACUUGAGUACAGAAGAGGAAAGUGGAAUUCCACGUGUAGCGGUGAAAUGCGUAGAGACGUGGAGGAACACCAGUGGCGAAGGCGACUUUCUGGUCUGUAACUGACGCUGAGGCGCGAAAGCGUGGGGAGCAAACAGGAUUAGAUACCCUGGUAGUCCACGCCGUAAACGAUGAGUGCUAAGUGUUGGAGGGUUUCCGCCCUUCAGUGCUGCAGCUAACGCAUUAAGCACUCCGCCUGGGGAGUACGGUCGCAAGACUGAA